GGUCAUAGUGAUCCGGUGGUUCUGUAUGGAAGGGCCAUCGCUCAACGGAUAAAAGGUACUCCGGGGAUAACAGGCUGAUACCGCCCAAGAGUUCAUAUCGACGGCGGUGUUUGGCACCUCGAUGUCGGCUCAUCACAUCCUGGGGCUGAAGUCGGUCCCAAGGGUAUGGCUGUUCGCCAUUUAAAGUGGUACGCGAGCUGGGUUUAGAACGUCGUGAGACAGUUCGGUCCCUAUCUGGUGUGGGCGUUGGAUGAUUGAGGGGAGCUGCUCCUAGUACGAGAGGACCGGAGUGGACGAACCUCUGGUGUUCCGGUUGUGAUGCCAAUUGCAUUGCCGGGUAGCUAUGUUCGGACAGGAUAACCGCUGAAAGCAUCUAAGCGGGAAGCCCCCCUCAAAACCAGGUCUCGCCUAAGAGCCGUCGUAGACCACGACGUCGAUAGGCCGGAAGUGGACGCGCAGCAAUGCGUGAAGCUGACCGGUACUAAUCGCUCGAUCGGCUUGC
rnacentral:rRNA from 14 species